rnacentral:rRNA from 1 species
CGCAAGCCUGACGGAGCAACGCCGCGUGUGGGAAGAAGGCUCUUGGGCUGUCAACCACUUUUCUCAGGGAAGAAGCCCUGACGGUACCUGAGGAAUCAGCCUCGGCUAACUCCGUGCCAGCAGCCGCGGUAAUACGGAGGAGGCAAGCGUUAUCCGGAAUUAUUGGGCGUGAAGCGUCCGCAGGGGGCACAUCAAGUCUGCUGUUAAAGGCUGGAGCUUAACUCCGGUAGAGCAGUGGAAACUGGUGUGCUAGAGGGCGACAGGGGUAGAGGGAAUUCCCGGUGUAGCGGUGAAAUGCGUAGAUAUCGGGAAGAACACCAGUGGCGAAGGCGCUCUACUGGGCCGCGACUGACGCUGAGGGACGAAAGCUAGGGGAGCG